rnacentral:sRNA from 1 species
AUGUACCACUCGUACACUCCGGUUCUGAGCGCGCCGUCCGCACCCACCUGACGACUGUUCGCUACGUUUUGUUAGCC